rnacentral:rRNA from 1 species
AUGAACCUUCGCCUACGGCAUCUAUUUUGUGGUUCCAGGUCGGCAACGGCUCUGAAGAUGAACAGCCUAUGGAAGAGGGUGAUCCCAUUGAAGAUUCAGAUUUCAGGUAAUGAGGAUGGAGAAGCUUCAAGCGAUGAUGGUGAAGGCAUUGUUCGCACUAGGGGGCUUUUGCUUAAUGAGACAGAGGAUGCUCAGCUACAAGGGCUGCUGCCUCUCAGUGAUGGUUUCAUCGGGUUUGCUUUUGUUCACCGCCUCACAAGGACUGACAUUCGCUUGGGCAUGAUGAAAAUACCCAAGAAAGUUGCUGCUGCCACGCCGUUUGAAGAACAGGGGGUUGUUGGUAUUUCUGUGGAUGGUCGGAGAUUCAAAAAAAUCUCAUACAAAACUGCUGAUGAUGGCCGCAUUGUGUUUGGCAGGAAGAAGUGGAAAGACUUCGCAGCUAGCAGAGGACUCAAAGUCAACACAGCUGUUCUUAUUGGCUUCAAGAGCAGCGAGAGGGAUGAUGUCCAUGUCCUGGUUAUCUUGAAGAAGCUUGGCUAG